GAUGAACGCUGGCGGCGUGCCUAAUACAUGCAAGUCGAGCGAACGGACGAGAAUCUUGCUUCUCUGAUGUUAGCGGCGGACGGGUGAGUAACACGUGGAUAACCUACCUAUAAGACUGGGAUAACUUCGGCAAACCGGAGCUCAUACCGGAUAAUAUUUUGAACCGCAUGGUUCAAAAGUGAAAGACGGUCUUGCUGUCACUUAUAGAUGGAUCCGCGCUGCAUUAGCUAGUUGGUAAGGUAACGGCUUACCAAGGCAACGAUGCAUAGCCGACCUGAGAGGGUGAUCCGCCACACUGGAACUGAGACACGGUCCAGACUCCUACGGGAGGCAGCAGUAGGGAAUCUUCCGCAAUGGGCGAAAGCCUGACGGAGCAACGCCGCGUGAGUGAUGAAGGUCUUCGGAUCGUAAAACUCUGUUAUUAGGGAAGAACAUAUGUGUAAGUAACUGUGCACAUCUUGACGGUACCUAAUCAGAAAGCCACGGCUAACUACGUG
rnacentral:rRNA from 1 species